rnacentral:siRNA from 1 species
GGUACAUAACUGACUUCGGUCAA